CAUGUUCAUGUUGUGGGAACUGUCCUCUCAGUUUGUAAAGGAGAGGAUACAGUUUGGUCAUUGUUUGGUCUUGUAGGGAGCGGGAACGGCGGGAAAAAGAGAGAGAUGAAUGGGAGAGGCUGUAUGGUCGUCAGAGUCACUCGCCCUCCCCCAAUGCCAAAUACGGUCGAGACUACAGCUCAUCCAGAAGGAGAUCACGCUCAAGAUCACGGAGUCCUCAUUACCGGUACUGAAGCUUCUGCUGAUAAAACAGUCAGGCCACAAGAUGUCAAACAGAUGUUUUAGGAGUGAAUGGUGACCAUGAUGGCAAGAGUUUACAUAGAAUUUUGGGGAAAACAAUAUCAAUAAAAUUAAUUUCACUCACUUCAACUUCUCUUUUACAUCUUCUAAAGGAUGCAAUGGAAACAACGUCAUUUCUAAAAUGUGAAAAUUAAACACCAUCAUGCUCUGAAACCACAUUUCGCCUCCCAUUCUUGAUAUUACACAGCAGGGUUGCCAGAAAUGCUUUGAGCUGCUAGGAUUCUAAUAAACUUUGCAGAUUAUUUUGAGUCAGUCUGUGUUGAAUUUUGUGACAUAAGAUUGGGAUGAACCGUAUUCUUUCCCGUGUCUCUUACCCCCAUUAAAGAGAGAGUUCACCUAAAAAAAA